UUUGAUCCUGGCUCAGGAUGAACGCUAGCUACAGGCUUAACACAUGCAAGUCGAGGGGCAUCAGUUUGGUUUGCUUGCAAACCAAAGCUGGCGACCGGCGCACGGGUGAGUAACACGUAUCCAACCUGCCUCAUACUCGGGGAUAGCCUUUCGAAAGAAAGAUUAAUAUCCGAUAGCAUAUAUUUCCCGCAUGGGUUUUAUAUUAAAGAAAUUCGGUAUGAGAUGGGGAUGCGUUCCAUUAGUUUGUUGGGGGGGUAACGGCCCACCAAGACUACGAUGGAUAGGGGUUCUGAGAGGAAGGUCCCCCACAUUGGAACUGAGACACGGUCCAAACUCCUACGGGAGGCAGCAGUGAGGAAUAUUGGUCAAUGGACGCGAGUCUGAACCAGCCAAGUAGCGUGAAGGAUGACUGCCCUAUGGGUUGUAAACUUCUUUUAUAUGGGAAUAAAGUGGUCCACGUGUGGACUUUUGUAUGUACCAUAUGAAUAAGGAUCGGCUAACUCCGUGCCAGCAGCCGCGGUAAUACGGAGGAUCCGAGCGUUACCCGGAUUUAUUGGGUUUAAAGGGAGCGUAGGCGGAUUGUUAAGUCAGUUGUGAAAGUUUGCGGCUCAACCGUAAAAUUGCAGUUGAUACUGGCAGUCUUGAGUGCAGUAGAGGUGGGCGGANUUCGUGGUGUA
rnacentral:rRNA from 1 species